rnacentral:tRNA from 1 species
GCCUCCGUAGUUCAGUGACAGAAUCUCUGAUUGCCAUUCAGAAGACGGUCGGUUUGAUUCCGCCCGGGGGCUCCA